rnacentral:lncRNA from 1 species
AACCCCUGUUAAGGAAAAUUAACAAAGUGUGGUUAUUAAAGAAGAACUGAGUUGGGAGUCAGACCUGGAGGCCCGCACCCGCGGUUAAGACAUUAUACCACCUUGAGUCUGGCCUGUUGACUGAGGGCUAAUACAACCAGUUGGAAAAAUGCGAUGGAUAAUCCAUUGGUGAGAGAACAUCUGAAGUGGUACUUUGCUAUCUUCUAAAGCUAGGUGAUGAUAUUCUGAUCUAUGAGAUGCAAGAAGAUGUGAUGUGUGGGACAUCCAUGAAAACUGAUUAAUGAGACCUGACACAAAUUAGAGAUCAAGCCCACUACGACCACCACCAUUUUUCUCUUCUAUCCUAUUUUUUUGUGACCUCUAGCAUGACCAUGAUGCCAAGAUCUCUAGCAGCCACAUAGUGACCUGAGGUAAAUCUGAGUAUGAAAAUCAUGUGCCAGGAUGGUGUAGAAAGAGGGUUUUGGAUCCUAUUGACAAUGGAAAGUUGGUCUUCCUACCUCUGAACCUCUUUAUGUAAGAGAAGUAACCUGAGUUUUAAAAGCCAUUAUUAUUUCCAUUUUCUCUGCUGAUGCAGACAAACACAAGUCCUAAUUUUAUAGAGACCUAAUACGUUCUGGACCUCAGAAAGAGAUUCCUGGAGGAAAUGUUGUUUUCAACCACUAACUCUGCUAAUUUCAGGCCAAGUGAGGCAUUAUAUAGACAGUCUGACCACUGCCACAGUUGCAUACGUUCUAAAUUUGAAAUAAAUCCCUUACUCUGUAUCACUUAUAGUGGAUCUGCUUCUCUGAUAAAACCCUCACUAAGACAAUUAUCAUCCACUGUUUGUUUUUCCUGUGGUAAGUAUAUCAUUGCUGUAUAAAAAUAACCUUUUAAUUAUUAACUCAGUUGGCCCAGUUUAGCAUCUUUUCCAUCUUCCAUUCUCAAUUUGAUAAUUACCAUCUUUCAUAAUAAUUAUCCUUCAGGUUUCACAAUACAUGUAUGUUGAAUGUUAAGGCUAUUCUUCAUUGAUAUUUACACUUUGACUCCAUGGUGAGAGAAGCUGCAGUAUCUGAGAAAUAAAUAAUUUGUAUGUGGGAGGUGUGAUUUUACAGCUAGAUUAUAGCUCAGUUUCUAGUUCUUUCUUUUAGAGAGAUUUCUCUUGGUCAUCUUUAUAGAGGUAUGAAGAUAUUUAGUUUUACUGUUAUUAUAUUAACAUUUUAAAAAGCAGCUUUCUACAAGGUAUGGCAUCAGGUGGAAUUAUUCUUGCUGUGCUCUCAAAUAAUCUCCAUGCUAAGUUUUUGGGCCUCACUGCAGCCCCUGAACACGUAUGUCUCUCUGUACCUCCUCUGUAUGAUGUAGUGAAUUUUUUGGACCUUUGAAUCACACACAGGCUUUCUUGGCUGUUUUAUACCAAAGGACUUUCACUAAAUUCCUAAGAAAAAUUUAGCACAGCCGAUGCUGUUUUCCAAUGCCAACCUUGGAGUUUGCAAUUUGCCCAGACAAAAAUACCAUAGCUGAUGGUGAUGAUGAUGUCAAUAUUUUUUUAAAAUACAAUUUAAAAAAUGGUUCAACAUAAAUUAUCUCAUUUAGUCCCCUGAACAACCUUGUGAUGUGAUUUUGAACAGGAAUAUCAAGACCUCAGGAUCUGGCAUCAAAUUCUGGGGUUUGAAUAUUAUUUCUAUCACAAACUAUUUAUAUUACUGCUUAUAUGUAAGUGACAACCUUUCUAUUCCUUAUUUUUUCCACUUGUAAAAUCAGAAAAAUGACAAUGAUGAGAGCACCAAACUUAUGAGCUUGCGAAGAUUAAAUGUGUGUAUGGGUUUUUAUCAGUUUGAGAGACAUUAUAUUUCCAUUUGUUGUCAUUCUGUCCCUUCCAUCAGGGUAGGACCUUUCUUCAGUGCAUUACUUUGUCCCCUGAACCUAGAAUGGUACCUGGAAUAUCAUUGGUGCCCAAUAAGUACUUGCUGAAUAAAUGACUGAAUAAAUAAAUGUAAUCUGUCAAUAUUUUCAUCUGAAGAUAUGAUAUCUGUUUUUUACCUUAUUUUUUCAAUCAUCCGAAAGGUAGUAUGCACAUUUGAAAGGUAGUCAUUGUUAUUUUCUUACACCAGUACUUGCACUUUUACAAUAUGUAGCAAUAAUCAUAAGCAAAGUAUCAUGACAGAGUGAGAAUAAACUUAAAUCUGUAAUUGCAAUUUUUCUUCACCGUGGCCUCCAUUGUUUGUCAUGUGUCUUGGCUACGUCAGGAUGGAAAGCAUUGCUUUUUUCUAUUUACAGGACCAGAAUUAAAUCCAUGUUUCUUGGCUGACCAUUUGGUUAGUUUUUGUUUGUUCAUUUGUUUUUUCAUGAAAUGUUCAUGGUGGUUGGGCUGGAAUAGGUAUAGCAUUUUAUUUAUUUAUACUCAGCUGAAACUAAGAGAAAUAUUUCAGACCAAGAAGUGGGGACAAGAGCAAUACUUGUGUAAUAAUACGAUGUACCAUUUUACAUUAUUUGGAAGUGCUGAUGCCUGCAUCUAUAGCAUCAGUCAAGAAAGAGAGGUAAUGAAAGAGAUUUCAAAUGAAUAUCAGAUAGGCUUUAGUAUUACAUAGGAUAAGACAGACAGGAUUGGUCAGGGUAUGCUGGAAAAGAUUUUUUAUCUUAUUUUAUUGGCUUUAUUUAAAUUUUUUUUUUUUUCCCAGCUGGAAAUCUAUUUAUUUAUUUUUCUUCAGUGUUACAAUGAAACAACAUUGCUUUAUUUAAAUUUUAUAAAAAUUCAAACCAUACAGUACUUUAUAAUAAAAUUGACUGCCUUUGGCUACUCUAUCUCUAUUUCCAGUGCAACUGUGGAAGUGGCACUGACAGAUAUGGUUUUAGCUACUUAGAAAUUUUUCUAGACACACACACACACACACACACACACACACACAAUUUAUAUGCAAAAUGCUCAUAUGCAUGUCAUAUUUUUUCUUUAUUCAGCAAGUUAUAGUGGAUAUUCUUUUAUAGCAUACGUAGCAAUGGACUUCUCUUUUUAAAGACUGCCUAGAAUUCUGUAGUUAUAAUACAGUCAUUCAUGUAACUAAUUCUCUAAAAACAAGCCAGAUGAUAUUUACUAAGAACUUACUAUGGGUCAGGCACAGCUCUAAUAGUCUAAUCUCAUCUAAUCUCAAUACGUUCAUGAGUUAGGAAUGGUUGUUAUUCCCAUAUGUUCCCAAUGAGGAAACUGAAGCAGAGAGUUUAAAUAAUGUGCCCUAAUUUACAGAAUUAUUAAACUGGUACUGGAAUUAUGCAAAGAUAAUCAGGCAUCAGAGUUUGUGAUGUCAACUGUUAUGUGAUACUGCAAUAAACGUUGUAUAAACCUC